rnacentral:misc_RNA from 1 species
UGGAAGGUAACUGUAACAGAAAGGAGAUUAGAAUUUGCAAGUAUAAAGGGCAACGGAGUUGAGUUUUUUUUUUUUUUAUCAACAAAAUCAAUUACAAGACUAUGCUGAUGAAAGAUAUCAGCUUAAUCUUCUGAAGCAAAAUUUAUGUACAAGUCUUGUAUGAUCGAUCACAAAGUUGGCUGUAUCUUUCUGGACCGCAUGUAUUCCAACAACUGAGAAGGUAAUUCUGCUAAAAGUGAUUGAACGACUGAGACAUCUCCAUUUUGUACAUCACGGAGGGGAACAAAUUGUACUAUAUCACGAACAGCAACACGUCCAGUUGUAGAUUCUAGUCUCUCUCCUUUAUCAGCAUCCAGUAUCUCCAUUUCCUUAAAGUCUGCACCUCCAACCCCAACAAUUAGAAUUGACAAUGGCAAAUCCGCUGCUUGAACAAGAGCAUCCUUCGUUUCUUGGAGAUCUGUUAUUACUCCAUCCGUGAUAAUUAGUAAAACGAAAUACUUCCGCUCAUUGUUCGUCAAAGACUGACUUGCUAUAUGUGCAGCAGAAGUAAUAACGGGUCCAAAUAAAGUUGGACCUGCAAGUGAAACAUUAUGAAGGGCACUAAUGUAUGCCAUCAUGAUACCCUGGAUUCCUUCCACCUCACAGUAAGUACUGCUACCGUUUAAGUUGAAGCAAUGAGAAACUGGGCCAUCAAUUGGCCGUGCUCCAAACCCCCAAGCAGGAAAACGUUUGUCUGAAUCAUAAAACUGCAAUACCUCCCCAACAUCCAGGAUUGCUCUCUGAUAAGCAUUUGGUCGUCCUGAAGGGUCAAUAUAAUGUAAUGAAUCAGGGAGCCGUGGAUUUCCAUUGGAAGCAGUAAAGUCAAUGGCCACCAUGAAGUUGAGUUCAUAGCCAAACGCCAAGUAAUCAAGGAAUGUAUACUGUAUUUUCUCAGAAUAGCUUUCCACGAAAAGUUGGCUCUUUAGAACCUUGUUUUCUUGUUUUGGUCCCAUAGCAGUUGGUAUAAAAAGAUUUGCACCAGUACCCGCAGAAUGCAACUUUUCUAAAUCUAAUAGUGACUUCUGAAUCUUUCCAAUUAAACUAUGCUUGCCAUUGCUAUUGAAGUCAUAACACUCGAUAAUUAGUGGGUUCUCCUUACUUCCAAUUUGUUGAAUUUUCAAGAACACCGGUUUCCAGGUGGGUGAAUGAUCAUUUUUCAUCACUUCUGUUUUGCAAAUUGGAACGACAAUUCCACUUUCAGUAGUUUUGGAUACCACCAGAAAUGGAUCACUUUUUGAAAACAAAUCUUUCGAUUCCAAUUCUGAACAUCUUAAUUUCAACUCGACUGUAGUUUUUGAGCUGAUACUUUCUUCAGCAAAAAUUGUAAGCUUGCCAAACUUCCGUGCAUGUGCUUGACCAGAAAAUUGUUCGCCACAUACAAGGUCCAUGGUCAGGGAUCUGUCAGAUUUUGUGACAAUCUGAGCCAAUGUGCAACUGGCCUCACCAAGAAAGUCCUGCUCCUCCAGUUUAAGCAUCUUGACACCUUGAUUAUGAAAUUGAGUGUCAAUAUCAUACACACGGAACACCAAAUUCUGCACCGUCUCAAAAUAAUAAGCCAUAGUAUAUUUUGUAAUCCACUUUGGGUUCAAUGAGUUCAGAACUACUUCAGUACGGGUAAGCUCUUUCAAUGAACCAUCUUUUUCUUUUGAAUAAAGAACUGCCAUAGGGUCACUCUUGGAAAGCACAUCACGAUCACGUAAGCUGGUAGCAGAUAGAGACAACUCGAUCUGAGAGUAGAGGCCUUGGUAACCACGAGACUUAAGGAAAGCAUCGACGGCUUCGUUAGGGGCAUUUGGUUGAUUUCCUUGGUUAACUCCGGUACCGCCGACUGCCGUCUGUCCACCGGCAACAUCAGAGCAGCAAUUUCCCAUGGCCGCAACUCAGAAGAUAACUGUCACUG